rnacentral:rRNA from 1 species
AACGGAGCGCCCGGACGGAGUAUUUCGGUACAAAGACCGGGUGGCUGAGUGGCGGACGGGUGAGUAACGCGUGGACAACCUGCCGUGUACAGGGGGAUAACAGCCGGAAACGGCUGCUAAUACCGCAUAUGCGCACAGUGCCGCAUGGCACAGGGCGGAAAGCCUGGAUCUUAUCUAGUACGGUACACGAUGGGUCCGCGUCUGAUUAGGUAGUUGGCGGGGUAACGGCCCACCAAGCCCACGAUCAGUAGCCGGCCUGAGAGGGCGGACGGCCACACUGGGACUGAGACACGGCCCAGACUCCUGCGGGAGGCAGCAGUGGGGAAUAUUGCACAAUGGGGGGAACCCUGAUGCAGCGACGCCGCGUGAAGGAAGAAGUAUCUCGGUAUGUAAACUUCUAUCAGCAGGGAAGAAAGAGGACGGUACCUGACUAAGAAGCCCCGGCUAACUACGUGCCAGCAGCCGCGGUAAUACGUAGGGGGCGAGCGUUA